AUCGGGGGAGAGGUCAUACUGGGAGUCAGGCAAACACCCAAGAGCCCCAGUGCCCCUCAUGAGGGACGGCAAUUGGCCACCACUUUGCCAUGGGCACUUUGGCAUCUGUGCCACCACAGCGUGCUGCCCCUCGGUCGGGAUGGCGGGUGGACAUCCCUGGUGGUGGUUUGGGUUGGAAGGGACCUUAAAGCUCAUCCAGUUCCACCCUCCACUAUGGGCAGGGACACCUUCCUCUAUCCCAGGUUGCUCCAUGUGGGGUCAGGUUGGGGCAGGACAGGGCUCACACGGGGUGCUGGGUCUAGUGUGUCGUGGCACUUGUUUCUGGUCAGGGAUGACCAAGGACCCUGCAUGGACGGGCACCAGAGGGACGAGAGGGGUGGCUGUGACACACAGUGGGGACCACCCCCACCACGACACUGGCACGUGGCAUUUGGAAGAGGAUGGCAAGAGGGACAUCCCAGGGGAUGGUAAGGGGGGCACUGACAGCUCAGCAGUGCCACAGGGCCCAGGUCACAUUUUUCCACCUCCAGGGCCUGGGACAGAGACUCCAACAGAGAAGCACAGCAAGGGCUUGACUCAAGUCAUUCCUACUCAUCUCUCUACCCAGAUUCCUGCAUCCAUGGACAACCUCCUGCUUCAAGUGGGCAGCACAGCACUGGGAACACUUUUACCUGGAGAGCUCUAAGGUCCUGGUCCUUCUUAUCUUAGAGGCUCCAGAGGUGGAUAUUCCGUGUGUUGGAUGCACAUUUUGGAGCCAUUUGGGAGAGAUGCAAGAUCUUCCUGAGGAAAAAUCCAUGGCUGUCCACUGAGGAAAUCCUGGCUCUUUCCAGUUGCCAUCUCAGAAAAAACCAGGCAGAGAGUCAGACCCUUCAUUCUUCACAGAAUCAUCUUUAUUUAACUAUUAAAAUAAAAUAAUUUUGUGUUCAGGUGAGGGAAAUUUUAGUACAAGUUAAAAAUCAGGUUCAGCAGGGAAAAAAGUUUCACAUAAUUAUCUUUUCUCAAUAAAGAUUAUUUUG